rnacentral:sRNA from 1 species
GGUUUUAUGAUAUACUAAAGUAGGUAACAAAGUUGAGACGGUUGCCGUUGCCUAGUCUGGAGGUGGUGCUUAUGUAUGUAAGUCACGAAAUCCGACGGAAAGGAGACGGUAGAGCUUGUCCGUUUAUGAAGUGCUCUCUCUGAUGAUUGCCUUUGGUGGUCUGAUAGUAGCCAUUAUGAACAGCAA